UUGGAACUGAGACACGGUCCAAACUCCUACGGGAGGCAGCAGUGGGGAAUAUUGCACAAUGGGCGAAAGCCUGAUGCAGCAACGCCGCGUGAGUGAUGAAGGCCUUCGGGUCGUAAAACUCUGUCCUCAAGGAAGAUAAUGACGGUACGUGAGGAGGAAGCCCCGGCUAACUACGUGCCAGCAGCCGCGGUAAUACGUAGGGGGCUAGCGUUAUCCGGAUUUACUGGGCGUAAAGGGUGCGUAGGCGGUCUUUCAAGUCAGGAGUGAAAGGCUACGGCUCAACCGUA
rnacentral:rRNA from 1 species